UGUCCGUUGUCCGAUGAAACUAAUUGAGCAUUUAUUGUUAUUAUUAUUAUUUAAUAGGUAAGGCAAAUUGGAUAAUCCAAGUUGAAGACACAGUUUUCAUCAAAUUAUGAGGAAGUUUCUCUGUGACCAACAAUCAGGUUUAGCCUUCAGUAAUUAAAGUGUUCAAUCGCACAAUUAAUCAGCAUUAAGGAUAAAGCUUUGGAUUGAAUUAAACACACGCAUUUCGCAUCGAAAAAUGCACCGACUAACAGAUUUUUUUGGAGGCAUUGUCGGUUGUUUAUUUUGAGGAUGAAUUUUCUGACUGAUGAAAUU